rnacentral:pre_miRNA from 1 species
AAUAAGUGCAACCGUGGAAAUCCGUGUCCAACGUUUGACCGUCCGUCUUAUUUAAAAAAAUUAUAAUUUUUUUUUAAAAAAUAGUCACACAUAAAGUAUUAUUCAUGUUUUAUCAUCUAAUAACAAUAAAUAUAGUAAUCAUAAAUUUUUUUCAAAUAAAACAAACGAUCAAACGUUGAAGAUGAAUAGUGCAAAACUGUACUUAUU